rnacentral:ncRNA from 1 species
UGGCAAAUCCGCCGAAAGGCGGAGACGCAAAGCUAUAGUGUCUAAGUGGAAACAUUUCCAUAAGAUUGACUGGCUGC